GAUGAACGCUAGCGGGAGGCCUAACACAUGCAAGCCGAGCGGGAUUUGUUGGUUAGCUUGCUAACUAACAAUGAGAGCGGCGUACGGGUGCGUAGCACGUGUGCAACCUGCCUUUAUCUGGGGGAUAGCCUUUCGAAAGGAAGAUUAAUACCCCAUAACAUAUUGAUUGGCAUCAGUUAAUAUUGAAAGCUCCGGCGGAUAGAGAUGGGCACGCGUAAGAUUAGCUAGUUGGUGAGGUAACGGCUCACCAAGGCUGCGAUCUUUAGGGGGCCUGAGAGGGUGAUCCCCCACACUGGUACUGAGACACGGACCAGACUCCUACGGGAGGCAGCAGUGAGGAAUAUUGGACAAUGGGUGAGAGCCUGAUCCAGCCAUCCCGCGUGAAGGACUAAGGACCUAUGGUUUGUAAACUUCUUUUAUACAGGGAUAAACCUACUCUCGUGAGGGUAGCUGAAGGUACUGUUUGAAUAAGCACCGGCUAACUCCGUG
rnacentral:rRNA from 1 species